rnacentral:rRNA from 1 species
AUUGAACGCUGGCGGCAGGCCUAACACAUGCAAGUCGAGCGGAUGACGGGAGCUUGCUCCUGGAUUCAGCGGCGGACGGGUGAGUAAUGCCUAGGAAUCUGCCUGGUAGUGGGGGACAACGUUUCGAAAGGAACGCUAAUACCGCAUACGUCCUACGGGAGAAAGCAGGGGACCUUCGGGCCUUGCGCUAUCAGAUGAGCCUAGGUCGGAUUAGCUAGUUGGUGAGGUAAUGGCUCACCAAGGCGACGAUCCGUAACUGGUCUGAGAGGAUGAUCAGUCACACUGGAACUGAGACACGGCCCAGACUCCUACGGGAGGCAGCAGUGGGGAAUAUUGGACAAUGGGCGAAAGCCUGAUCCAGCCAUGCCGCGUGUGUGAAGAAGGUCUUCGGAUUGUAAAGCACUUUAAGUUGGGAGGAAGGGCAGUAAGCGAAUACCUUGCUGUUUUGACGUUACCGACAGAAUAAGCACCGGCUAACUCUGUGCCAGCCGCCGCGGUAAGAC